GACCUGGGGCUCCACCUCUGGGAGGAGUCUCCAUUCAGCAGUCUCACCUGUCUGCAAUCAAGCUAGUGUAAUCCAGCUGUUCAUCACACUUCCCCUACAAUACUUACAACAAUACUUACCUUCAUUAGGAUGCCAGUCUUCCUGCAGUCACGCAGUCUGGUUACACUCGCUUCCUCUCUGCACACCGCCUGCCUGCCUCCCUGUUUUAGCUUCUGGAACUCAUUUGGUACAGUACGUUAUGGACUCACCCCGGAUUGGAACUCUCCCGGAUCCCUUGGACUGCCCUCCUUCCAUGUCAUUCCAUGCCUGCAAAGAUGACUCUGCACACUUUCACCCGAGCCACAGUCCCUCCUCCCCUUGGCCCUGUUUCAUGGACUUCAGUAUAAACUUUAGCUCACAGAUUAAGCUUCACAUUUUGACUUUUCAGGUUGUCUCAUUUCACAGUUCGUAGUCACCAUCCAAAGGUUUUGUUUCACUUUGUAAAUAAAGCACUG